rnacentral:rRNA from 1 species
GGUCAAGCUACAAAGGGCGCAUGGUGAAUGCCUUGGCAUCAGGAGCCGAUGAAGGACGUGAUAAGCUGCGAUAAGCUUCGGGUAGGCGCACAUAGCCAGUGAUCCGAAGAUUUCCGAAUGAGGGAACUCACAUGGGAAACCCCAUGUAUCCUGUAGUGAAUAAAUAGCUGCAGGAAGGUAAACCUAGGGAACUGAAACAUCUAAGUACCUAGAGGAAGAGAAAGAAAAAUCGAUUUUCUUAGUAGCGGCGAGCGAAAGGGAAAGAGCCCAAACCAGAGAUUUAUCUCUGGGGUUGCGGACAGAACAUUAAAUAAACUAAUUUGUAACCGAAGACAACUGGAAAGUUGUGCCGUAGAGUGUAAUAGCCACGUAGGUGAAACGAAGAGGUUUAGAGUUCUGAUCCAGAGUACCACGAGACACGUGAAACCUUGUGGGAAGCAGGGAGGACCACCUCCCAAGGCUAAAUACUACCUGAUGACCGAUAGUGAAGCAGUACCGUGAGGGAAAGGUGAAAAGAACCCCGGGAGGGGAGUGAAAUAGAACCUGAAACCGUGUGCCUACAACCGGUCAAAGCCCCUUAUGAGGGUGAUGACGUGCUUUUUGUAGAACGAGCCAACGAGUUACGGUAUGUAGCAAGGUUAAGUACUUAAGGUACGGAGCCUAAGGGAAACCGAGUCUUAAUAGGGCGACUAGUUGCAUGCCGUAGACCCGAAACCGGGUGACCUAUCCAUGGCCAGGUUGAAGCGGGGGUAAAACCCCGUGGAGGACCGAACCACGUUGCUGUUGAAAAAGCAUGGGAUGAGCUGUGGAUAGCGGAGAAAUUCCAAUCGAACUCGGAGAUAGCUGGUUCUCCUCGAAAUAGCUUUAGGGCUAGCGUCGGAUAUGAGUAAUGGAGGUAGAGCACUGAAUGGGCUAGGGGGCGUAUCGCUUACCGAACCUUAUCAAACUCCGAAUGCCAUAUACUAUGAGUCCGGCAGUCAGACUACGAAUGAUAAGAUCCGUGGUCAAAAGGGAAAAAGCCCAGAUCGUCAGCUAAGGUCCCAAAGUGUAAGUUAAGUGGUAAAGGAUGUGGGAUUUCUAAGACAACUAGGAUGUUGGCUUAGAAGCAGCCACUCAUUUAAAGAGUGCGUAAUAGCUCACUAGUCGAGAGAUCCUGCGCCGAAAAUGUCCGGGGCUCAAACUUACCACCGAAGCUACGGGCUCAAGUUUACUUGAGCGGUAGAGGAGCGUCGUAAUCGGGCUGAAGUCGUACCGUAAGGAGCGGUGGACUGAUUACGAGUGAGAAUGUUGGCAUUAGUAGCGAGAUGUAAGUGAGAAUCUUACAGGCCGAAAAUCUAAGGUUUCCUGGGGAAGGCUCGUCCGCCCAGGGUUAGUCGGGACCUAAGCCGAGGCCGAAAGGCGUAGGUGAUGGACAAUUGGUUGAUAUUCCAAUACCACUAUUAUCGUUAUUAUCGAUGGUGUGACGGAGAAGGAUAGGAUGUGCUAGCGAUUGGAAAUGCUAGUCUAAGCAUUUAGGGAGUUAAAGUAGGCAAAUCCGCUUUAACAAUUCUGAGGUGUGAUGGGGAAGGUCAUUUUGACUGAAGUAUCUGAUUCCAUGCUUCCAAGAAAAGCAUCUAGAGAGAGAAGUAGUGCCCGUACCGCAAACCGACACAGGUAGAUGAGGAGAGAAUCCUAAGGCCAUCGGAAGAAUUGCAGUUAAGGAACUAGGCAAAUUGACCCCGUAAGUUCGCGAGAAGGGGUGCCUGUGAGAGC